GAGCACGUAGGUGGGUUUGUAAGUCAGACGUGAAAGCCUUCUGUUCAACGGAAGAAUUGCAUCUGAAGCUACAAACCCUGAGUGUAGGAGGGGAGAAUGGAACUUCUGGUGGAGCGGUGAAAUGCGUAGAUAUCAGAAGGAACGCCGGCGGCGAAAGCGAUUCUCUGGCCUAUUACUGACACUCAGUGUGCGAAAGCUAGGGGAGCGAACGGGAUUAGAUACCCCGGUAGUCCUAGCCGUAAACGAUGGGCACUAAGUAGAGGGG
rnacentral:rRNA from 2 species